rnacentral:miRNA from 12 species
AAUCACUAGCCACACGGCCAGG